CACGGCCUAUCAGCUUGUUGGUGAGGUAACGGCUCACCAAGGCAACGACGGGUAGCUGGUCUGAGAGGACGAUCAGCCACACUGGGACUGAGACACGGCCCAGACUCCUACGGGAGGCAGCAGCAGGGAAUCUUGCGCAAUGGACGAAAGUCUGACGCAGCGAUGCCGCGUGGGGGAUGACGGCCUUCGGGUUGUAAACCCCUUUCAGGAGGGACGAAAUUGACGGUACCUCCAGAAGAAGCCCCGGCCAACUACGUGCCAGCAGCCGCGGUAAUACGUAGGGGGCGAGCGUUGUCCGGAAUUAUUGGGCGUAAAGAGCUCGUAGGCGGCUUGGUAAGUCGGCCGUGAAAACCAAAGGCUCAACCUUUGGAUGUCGGUCGAUACUGCCAUGGCUAGAGUCCGGUAGAGGAGAGUGGAAUUCCCGGUGUAGCGGUGAAAUGCGCAGAUAUCGGGAGGAACACCAGUAGCGAAGGCGGCUCUCUGGGCCGGAACUGACGCUGAGGAGCGAAGGCGUGGGUAGCAAACAGGAUUAGAUACCCUGGUAGUCCACGCCGUAAACGUUGGGUACUAGGUGUGGCGUCUUAUCAACGGAUGCCGUGCCGAAGCUAACGCAUUAAGUACCCCGCCUGGGGAGUACGG
rnacentral:rRNA from 1 species